UACAGAGGGCUCAAGCGUUGUUCGGAUUCAUUGGGCGUAAAGGGCGCGUAGGCUGCGGGGCAAGUCGGGUGUGAAAUCUCAGAGCUCAACUCUGAAACUGCACUCGAUACUGCUUUGCUCGAGGACUGGAGAGGAGAUUGGAAUUCACGGUGUAGCAGUGAAAUGCGUAGAUAUCGUGAGGAAGACCAGUGGCGAAGGCGGAUCUCUGGACAGUUCCUGACGCUGAGGCGCGAAGGCCAGGGGAGCAAACGGG
rnacentral:rRNA from 1 species